AGCGCAGGCGGCUUGGUCUGUCUAAAGUGAAAGCCCGGGGCUUAACCUCGGAAGUGCUUUGGAUACUGCCAGGCUUGAGUUCGCGAGAGGAGAGCGGAAUUCCAGGUGUAGCGGUGAAAUGCGUAGAUAUCUGGAGGAACACCGGUGGCGAAAGCGGCUCUCUGGCGCGAUACUGACGCUGAGGCUCGAAAGCGUGGGGAGCGAACAGGAUUAGAUACCCUGGUAGUCC
rnacentral:rRNA from 1 species